GCUUGGGCUUCUUUGCUGACGAGUGGCGGACGGGUGAGUAAUGUCUGGGAAACUGCCUGAUGGAGGGGGAUAACUACUGGAAACGGUAGCUAAUACCGCAUAACGUCGCAAGACCAAAGAGGGGGACCUUCGGGCCUCUUGCCAUCGGAUGUGCCCAGAUGGGAUUAGCUAGUAGGUGGGGUAACGGCUCACCUAGGCGACGAUCCCUAGCUGGUCUGAGAGGAUGACCAGCCACACUGGAACUGAGACACGGUCCAGACUCCUACGGGAGGCAGCAGUGGGGAAUAUUGCACAAUGGGCGCAAGCCUGAUGCAGCCAUGCCGCGUGUAUGAAGAAGGCCUUCGGGUUGUAAAGUACUUUCAGCGGGGAGGAAGGGAGUAAAGUUAAUACCUUUGCUCAUUGACGUUACCCGCAGAAGAAGCACCGGCUAACUCCGUGCCAGCAGCCGCGGUAAUACGGAGGGUGCAAGCGUUAAUCGGAAUUACUGGGCGUAAAGCGCACGCAGGCGGUUUGUUAAGUCAGAUGUGAAAUCCCCCCGGG
rnacentral:rRNA from 2 species